AUUGAACGCUGGCGGAAUGCUUUACACAUGCAAGUCGAACGGUAGAGGGGGCAACCCCUUGAGAGUGGCGAACGGGUGAGUAAUAUAUCGGAACGUGCCCAGUCGUGGGGGAUAACGUAGUGAAAAUUACGCUAAUACCGCAUACGAUCUAAGGAUGAAAGCGGGGGAUCGCAAGACCUCGCGCGAUUGGAGCGGCCGAUAUCAGAUUAGGUAGUUGGUAGGGUAAAGGCCUACCAAGCCAACGAUCUGUAGCUGGUCUGAGAGGACGACCAGCCACACUGGAACUGAGACACGGUCCAGACUCCUACGGGAGGCAGCAGUGGGGAAUUUUGGACAAUGGGCGAAAGCCUGAUCCAGCCAUUCCGCGUGCAGGAUGAAGGCCUUCGGGUUGUAAACUGCUUUUGUACGGAACGAAAAGGUUUCCAUUAAUACUGGGAGCUCAUGACGGUACCGUAAGAAUAAGCACCGGCUAACUACGUGCCAGCAGCCGCCGUAA
rnacentral:rRNA from 1 species